rnacentral:rRNA from 1 species
GAUUAACGCUAGCGGCAGGCCUAAUACAUGCAAGUCGAACGGUAAAUAGGUAGCAAUAUCUAUGAGAGUGGCGCACGGGUGAGUAACGCGUAUGCAACCUACCUUUAACUGGGGGAUAGCUCAGAGAAAUCUGAAUUAAUACCGCAUAAAAUUAUUAAAUGGCAUCAUUUAAUAAUCAAAACUCCGGUGGUUAAAGAUGGGCAUGCGUGACAUUAGCUAGNGGUAAGGUACGCUUACCAAGGCUACGAUGUCUAGGGGUCUGAGAGGAUGGUCCCCCANACUGGUACUGAGACACGGACCAGACUCC